rnacentral:rRNA from 1 species
GGUUCGAUUUCGGAGAGGGAGCAUGAGAAACGGCUACCACAUCUAAGGAAGGCAGCAGGCGCGUAAAUUACCCAAUCCUGACUCAGGGAGGUAGUGACGAGAAAUAGCAAACCGGGAACCUCAUGGUUUCACGGUAUUGCAAUGAGAACAAUUUAAAACCCUUAGCGAGAAUCAAGUGGAGGACAAGUCUGGUGCCAGCACCCGCGGUAAUUCCAGCUCCACUAGCGUAUAUUAAAGUUGUUGCAGUUAAAAAGCUCGUAGUUGAACCUCUGUCUGGGGCUAGUUUUGGCUUUGGUCAGGCUAGUUCUAGGCAUCCGCCUACAAGACUUAGAGGGCAUUCAGUUGUUCACUAGGAGGAGUAGGCAUUUUACUUUGAAAAAAUUAGAGUGUUUAAGGCAGGCAAUCGCCCGCAUAUAUUAGCAUGGAAUAAUAGAAUAGGACACUUUUCCAUUUCGUUGGUUAUUGGAAUCGUGUAAUGAUUAAUAGGGACAGUUGUGGGCAUUUGUAUCUAAUUGUCAGAGGUGAAAUUCUUGGAUUUAUUAAAGACAAACUAACGCGAAAGCAUUUGCCAAGGAUGUUUUCAUUAAUCAAGAACGAAAGUUAGGGGAUCAAAGACGAUCAGAUACCGUCCUAGUCUUAACUAUAAACUAUCCCGACUCGAUGUUUGACUGGCUUAUAUAACCAGUUGAGCGUUGUAUGAGAAAUCAAAGUCUUUAGGUUCUGGGGGGAGUAUGGUUGCAAAGCUGAAACUUAAAGGAAUUGACGGAAGAGCACAACCAGGAGUGGAUUCUGCGGCUUAAUUUGACUCAACACGGGGAAACUUACCAGGUUAAAACAAUAGUGGGAUUGACAGUUUGAGAGCGCUUUCUUGAUUGGUUGGGUGGUGGUGCAUGGCCGUUCUUAGUUGGUGGAGUGAUUUGUCUGCAUAAUUGCGUUAACGUACGAGACCUUAACCUGCUUACUAGACUGGCGAUCAUCAAUCGUUAGCUCUUCUUAGAGGGACUUUGGUUGUUUUAACUCCAAGGAAGUUUGAGGCAAUAACAGGUCUGUGAUGCCCUUAGAUAUCCUGGGCCGCACGCGUCAUACAAUGACUAGUUCAGAAAGUUUUCUCCUGACCCGAAAGGGGAUGGGUAAUCUUGAUAAUACUAGUCGUGUUAGGGAUCGAUCUUUGCAAUUAUAGAUCUUGAACGAGGAAUUCCUAGUAAGUGCGGUUCAUCAGACCGUACUGAUUACGUCCCUGCUCUUUGUACACACCGCCCGUCGCUUCUACCGAGUGGGUGGUCCGGUGAGAUAAUUGAACUUCGCAGGUAACUGAGAGGAAAGAUUAUCAAACCUAUCCACCUCGAGGAAGAAGAAGUCGUAACAAGGUU